ACAAUCUAUAUGGCUAUCCCGAGGGUAAGGACACCCUGCGGGAGACUAUCAAGUUCAUGUAUACAGACUGGGCAGACCGAGACAACCCUGAGACCCGCCGUAAAACACUGGUGGCACUCUUCACUGACCACCAGUGGGUGGAGCCUUCGGUGGUGACAGCUGAUCUGCAUGCCCGCUAUGGCUCACCCACUUACUUCUACGCCUUCUACCAUCACUGCCAGAGCCUCAUGAAGCCUGCAUGGUCAGAUGCAGCACACGGGGAUGAAGUACCCUAUGUUUUUGGUGUCCCUAUGGUAGGUCCCACUGACCUUUUCCCCUGCAACUUCUCCAAGAAUGAUGUUAUGCUCAGUGCUGUUGUUAUGACCUAUUGGACCAACUUUGCCAAGACCGGGUAAGGAGAAAAUGGGUGUCUUCUUCUCUGGGACCCCAGCAUGCUCUUACCUUUGCUCUUCUAUCUAGCCUCUUCUAUUAGCUUCCUCUCUGUGCAUUUUCCUAAAGCUUGCCUGUUAACACCUUU
rnacentral:lncRNA from 1 species